rnacentral:misc_RNA from 1 species
GUGGUGUUUGGAUCGUCCCUGCCGGCUGGCUCCGUGCCCGCCCACCGAACGGUCGGCAGGCGAUCCGCGUCGGUCGUGCGAGGGUGGUAUGGUUCCCCCAGAGGCCGGUUCUUGUGCUGCCUACCCCUUCAGGGGAAUCGGGCCACUCGAUGUAAGCCUCCAUCCGGCGCCUUCCAACGGGCGCAGGAGGACAACAGGGCACCCCCCGCGUUCCACCGAGCCUCCUCGGUCGCGUGGCCCGCGGGGACGUGCGACGCUCUCGGACCCAGCGAACGCCGUGGGCGAGGACUCACGUCCCACUCCCGAAAAGAAGCUCCGAUAUAAUGCAAGACGGCCGCUCCCGCCCCCCCGAGGAAUGCUACCUGGUUGAUCCUGCCAGUAGUCAUAUGCUUGUCUCAAAGAUUAAGCC